ACUGAUUAGAUCAUUGAAAUAUGAGCUGAAAAACAAAGAAGCAACAGAAAAAAGGUUGUCACAUAACCAAUGCAAGCUUCACAGUUGUGUAAGACAUCUGGAACAGCGGAACAGCAGAUGACAAAAACCCUGGUGACAGUUGCCAACUGGCCUCAGAUGAGGAGUCAUAGAGACUGACCCUGAGCCAUGUCCUCAGUGCAUGCUGGAUACCUGACAUGCAACAAAACAGCAAAACCAGCAGUUCCCCAGUCAGGGACCCAUGCCAACAGGUGGCCAACACUGUGCUAAGGUCUUUAGGAUAACCAUUGCAAGACAAGUCAUUGUGGUCAAACAUUCCCUAAGUACAAGGAGAGAGCAGUAACCUAUCAGGAUUGUACUCGACAAGUACUUGACAAUCCCAGGAGGAAAACUGCAGGAUAGCGAGGGUAAAGUUUCAAAAUUGUGUGUAUGACAUAGGAAGCUAAUGUCCUCCUAAAUAAUACAGGUGCAAUUAAAAAGCUUCACUGUAUCCUAUUAUUUUUGUAUGCCAAAGUAGCCAGUAUUGCUUUAUGCAAAUUUGUUCUUGACCUCUUUUACUUUACUGUACAUGGGAGUCAAAUGCAUUCACCAAAGUUUCUGGAUGUAUAUGCAUAACACUCUUUAUCUGAUUUCCGGUGUUUUUCCUCUGAUUUUCAUAUGAUAAAUUAAUUAAAUUGCUGCUUACAUUCUCUUACUAGAAAUAAAUCUAGUAAGAAAUAAAACAGACUGUAAGAAUUUAUUCAAAAGUAGUUAAAAAUGCCUGUUGUCUUUUUAAAAAUAUUUAUUCAUUUCAGAGGGUUAAUGGUGUCAUACUGAACAGAGACAUAGAGUAAUUGUGUCAAUAUUAUCAAGGUCAAAUGAAGUGCCACUGACUCCAACAUGGUUUUGACACAAUGCAACCUGACUAUAUAAAACAAAAAGCUAAUUUUAAAAAUCAUUUACCUCCUGUAGACCUUAAAAUGGAUUUUACUAAUGAAAACUAGAAUGUAUUUUUUUUCCUGAUAGGUGAAGCAAAUGAGACUGUGGAAGCAAGUAUAUGUUGACAAGGGCAAACUAAAUGUCCAA